rnacentral:rRNA from 1 species
UGCCAGUAUAAUAUGCUUGUUUCAAAGAUUAAGCCAUGCAAGUGUUAGAACCUCAUCGCAUCUGGUUUACUGGGUGUUGAUUUGGGAAUCUGUGGAUUGCUCAUUAUAAGAGUUAUAUACUCAGCCACUGGUAGUUGUGACGUAAGAAGCAUACAUGGAUAAUGCAGCUAACUGCCGCAAUAAUACAUGAAUUAAAAAGGGAAUCGCCGAUUCUAAGUGGUAAUAAGCGUCGAAUCGCUUUUAUCAGAGCAAUAUUGCUGGCAGCGCAAGUUGUCAGUGAAUUGUGAUUGACCGACUUAAACAAAUAUGGGUUUGAUAAACGGCUUUUAAUAGGGUUGUUGAGUUGAAUUCAGAAAGUUGGCCCAGAGGAAGUGUUUCUUACCUAUCAGUUAGUAGUUUCAGUAAGGGUCAAACUUGACUUUUACGGGUACGGGGAAUUAGUGUUCAAAUCCGGAGAGGGAGCCUGAGAAAUAGCUACCACAUCUAAGGACGGCAGCAGGCACGAAAAUUAUCCACUGCUAAUUCAGCGAGAUAGUGACGAGAAAUAACGACCUUCAAACGAAGGGUACCAGUAAAAUGGUUUGGAAUGGCGGUAGAUCAAAAUUCUAUCAGAGUAACAAUUAGAGGAUUAGUCUGGUGCCAGCACCCGCGGUAAUUCCAGCUCUAAUAGUGUAUUUUAAAGUUGUUGCAGUUAAAACGCUCGUAGUCUAUACUGUGAUCAAAUCAGAGAGAUUCAAUCAGGCAAUGAUGUUUGCAAAAACUUGCCCGAAUGGUUCAGCAUAGCACUGAAAUCAAGUCCCUUUUGGGACGAAACGAAUGGAAGAUAGGGAAAGGGAACAAGUAUUGUCUCGCUAGAGGUGAAAUUCAGAGAACGUGCCAAGACUAGCAGACGCGAAAGCGGUGUCCCGUCACAUCUUCGUCGAUCAGGAACGAAAGUUGGGGGAGCGAAAAUGAUUAGAUACCGUUGUAGUCCCAACUGUAAACUAUAUUGACAA